rnacentral:rRNA from 1 species
AGCGAGCGCUGGCGGCAGGCCUAAAACAUGCAAGUCGAACGCCCGUAGCAAUACGGGAGUGGCAGACGGGUGAGUAACACGUGGGAACGUGCCCUUUGGUUCGGAACAACACAGGGAAACUUGUGCUAAUACCGGAUAAGCCCUUACGGGGAAAGAUUUAUCGCCAGAGGAUCGGCCCGCGUCUGAUUAGCUAGUUGGUGAGGUAACGCUCACCAAGGCUACGAUCAGUAGCUGGUCUGAGAGGAUGAUCAGCCACACUGGGACUGAGACACGGCCCAGACUCCUACGGGAGGCAGCAGUUAGGAAUCUUGGACAAUGGGCNCAAGCCUGAUCCAGCCAUGCC